rnacentral:lncRNA from 1 species
AAUGUUUUUUGGUUUGUUUCCUACACACAAAAGGGUGUAUGAAGGCAUGAUUUAUGUCCUUUCAAUCAUCUGUAGAGCUUGUGUUUCUGAAGACCAGACCAGAAGGCCAGAAGACCACUUAGUAUGAUGAAUCUAUGCACUCUUAUUUCAGGCUCCCUCUCCAGGGGACAGAGGAAGAAGCAUCUCAGGAACACAGCUUGUCUUCUUCACUGCCUGUUCGGGUGUGGGAAGGGUCUCUCUCCACUGACUCAGGAGACCGGGCAAUAAUCCUUUUGCAACCUCAUGGGCUGUCAGUCACCUGAACUCAGCUGGCUUCACUUUUUCCUUCCAUUCAGUUCAAUUGUAUGACACUGAUUAUUUAGAUGAGUGUUUUCUGAAGAUUGUUCAUUUUUUGUGGUCUCAUACACAUAAGAUUUCUAAUGGAUUCUGGAAAAGCACAGUCUCAUCUCCAUGCCUUUAACUGACUAAACAUGCUACUGGCUUCAGUGCCAGUUUAGCCACUUCCUCCAGACAAGAAUGAAACUGUAAAAAGGUUUCUAAGUCAGAAUUGCCUAAACAUUUAUUCCUGGCCUCACUGAACUAAAACCGCUGUACAAGAGGGCAUUGUGCCCCUGUGUGCUCCCACGCAGCAGUCAGAGCAGAUUAUCUGCAGUCUAUAGCCCACCAAAUCCAUUGUCAGUAAUGUGGAAGAAACAUUCCCACUUCGCUGAUGAGAAAAAAGCCUCUAGUCUGGUGCACAAGAGAAGGGUUAUUAUCUUUCCAGAUGCAUCUCAACCUCACAUGUGUCAGUGGGAAGUAAGUGCACAGAUGGAGGAAGUGAACUGCAGUGGUUGCUGAAUGCAGUGGGAUGUUCAGUGCAAAGGUCUCAGCAUCAGUUUUUCUCCCACUUCUGUGGCACUGUUUUGUAACUUCAGAGUAAUUCCUCUGUCAUUAGAGUGGUUUUUUUUAGGUUGUGUCCAGGGGCUAAAUGAAGGAUAUAUAUAAAGAACAAGCCAUUUCUCAGAGAAAAAAAAUUUUACCUGGAGGUCCCUCGGGAAAG